UCGAGCGAGAAGCUACCUUCGGGUAGUGGACAGCGGCGCACGGGUGAGUAACGCGUACACAAUCUACCUUAUAGAGGAGAAUAGCCCUGGGAAACUGGGAUUAAUGCUCCAUAGUAUUACACUUUGGCAUCAAGGUGUAAUUAAAGCUCCGGCGCUAUAAGAUGAGUGUGCGUACUAUUAGCUAGUUGGUAAGGUAACGGCUUACCAAGGCUACGAUAGUUAGGGGGCGUGAGAGCGUGACCCCCCACACGGGUACUGAGACACGGACCCGACUCCUACGGGAGGCAGCAGUAAGGAAUAUUGGACAAUGGGCGCAAGCCUGAUCCAGCCAUCCCGCGUGGAGGAUGACUGCCCUAUGGGUUGUAAACUCCUUUUAUUUGAGAAGAAACGCCUGGAUUUAUCCGGGCCUGACGGUAUCUUAUGAAUAAGCACCGGCUAACUCCGUGCCAGCAGCCGCGGUAAUACGGAGGGUGCAAGCGUUAUCCGGAAUCACUGGGUUUAAAGGGUGCGUAGGUGGUUUAGUAAGUCAGAUGUGAAAGCCCGGCGCUCAACGUCGGAAUUGCAUUUGAUACUGCUGAACUUGAAUCAGGUUGAGGUGGGCGGAAUGUGGCAUGUA
rnacentral:rRNA from 1 species